GAUGAACGCUGGCGGCGUGCCUAAUACAUGCAAGUCGAGCGAACAGACGAGGAGCUUGCUCCUUUGACGUUAGCGGCGGACGGGUGAGUAACACGUGGGUAACCUACCUAUAAGACUGGGAUAACUUCGGGAAACCGGAGCUAAUACCGGAUAAUAUUUCGAACCGCAUGGUUCGAUAGUGAAAGAUGGCUCUGCUAUCACUUAUAGAUGGACCUGCGCCGUAUUAGCUAGUUGGUAAGGUAACGGCUUACCAAGGCAACGAUUCGUAGCCGACCUGAGAGGGUGAUCGGCCACACUGGAACUGAGACACGGUCCAGACUCCUACGGGAGGCAGCAGUAGGGAAUCUUCCGCAAUGGGCGAAAGCCUGACGGAGCAACGCCGCGUGAGUGAUGAAGGUCUUCGGAUCGUAAAACUCUGUUAUUAGGGAAGAACAAACGUGUAAGUAACUGUGCACGUCUUGACGGUACCUAAUCAGAAAGCCACGGCUAACUACGU
rnacentral:rRNA from 1 species